AUUGAACGCUGGCGGCAGGCCUAACACAUGCAAGUCGAGCGGAGCGGCGGACGGGUGAGUAAUGCCUAGGAAUCUGCCUGGUAGUGGGGGAUAACGUCCGGAAACGGGCGCUAAUACCGCAUACUAUCAGAUGAGCCUAGGUCGGAUUAGCUAGUUGGGGGGGUAAAGGCCUACCAAGGCGACGACCCGUAACUCGUCUGAGAGGAUGAGCAGCCACACUGGAACUGAGACACGGUCCAGACUCCUACGUGAGGCAGCAGUGGGGAAUAUGGGACAAUGGGCGCAAGCCUGAUGCAGCCAUGCCGCGUGUAUGAAGAAGGCCUUAGGGUUGUAAAGUACUUUCAGCGGGGAGGCGUUACCCGCAGAAGAAGCACCGGCUAACUCCGUGCCAGCAGCCGCGGUAAUAC
rnacentral:rRNA from 1 species